GAUUGGAUAUGAUGAAUGUAAUGGACGAGUGAUGAUCUAUUUCACAUGAUCAUAAAUCUCUACUCGCUACGUUCUUUCUGAUCCUUUU